rnacentral:rRNA from 1 species
UGAGCAAUCUGCCCUUCUCAUCGGAAUAAGCGUUGGAAACGACGUCUAAUGCCGAAUACGACCUCCUUUCGCAUGAUCGGAGGUGGAAAGCUCCCGCGGAGAAGGAUGAGCUCGCGGCCUAUCAGCUAGUUGGUGUGGGUAAUGGCCCACCAAGGCGACGACGGGUAGCUGGUCUGAGAGGAUGGCCAGCCACAUUGGGACUGAGACACGGCCCAGACUCCGUACGGG